CAGACGGCUCAGUAACACGUGGUCAAGCUAACCUAUGGACGUGGAUAACCUCGGGAAACUGAGAAUAAACCGCGAUAGAUCAUGGUGCCUGGAAUGGCCCAUGGUCGAAAUAGUUUACUGCCGUAGGAUGCGACUGCGGCCUAUCAGUUUGUUGGUGAGGUAAUGGCCCACCAAGACUAUUACAGGUACGGGCUCUGAGAGGAGAAGCCCGGAGAUGGGUACUGAGACACGGACCCAGGCCCUAUGGGGCGCAGCAGGCGAGAAACCUUAGCAAUGUGCGAAAGCACGACUGGGUUAGUCCGAGUGAUUCCUGCUAAAGGAAUCUUUUGCCGGUCCUAAAAGCACCGGUGAAUAAGGGGUGGGCAAGUCUGGUGUCAGCCGCCGCGGUAAUACCAGCACCUCGAGUGAUCAGGACGUUUAUUGGGCCUAAAGCAUCCGUAGCUGGCUCUGCAAGUCUCCGGUUAAAUCAACCUGCUUAACAGAUUGGCCGCUGGAGAUACUACAAAGCUAGGGAGUGGGAGAGGCAGACGGUAUUCGGGGGGUAGGGGGUAAAAUCNUCUGAUCCUCUGAGGACUACCCGUGGCGAAGGCGGUCUGCCAGAACACGUUCGACAGUGAGGGAUGAGAGCUGGGGGAGCAAACC
rnacentral:rRNA from 1 species